rnacentral:rRNA from 1 species
GAUGAACGCUGGCGGCGUGCUUAACACAUGCAAGUCGAACGAGAAUCAACGGAUUGAGGAUUCGUCCAAAUGAAGUUGAGGAAAGUGGCGGACGGGUGAGUAACGCGUAAGCAACCUGCCUAUUAGAGGGGAAUAACAGUGAGAAAUCAUUGCUAAUACCGCAUAAGCUAGAGACACCGCAUGGAGUAGCUAGAAAAAGGAGAAAUCCGCUAAUAGAUGGGCUUGCGUCCGAUUAGCCAGUUGGUGGGGUAACGGCCUACCAAAGCGACGAUCGGUAGCCGAGCUGAGAGGCUCAACGGCCACAUUGGGACUGAGAUACGGCCCAG